GGACUGCAGCCUCAACAUCGUAGCCUGAUCAUGCUACCAUAAAUCAGCAUUGGUGGCAGCAACAAGCCACUACAGAACCAGUUGUAGCUUCAACAGUCCCUGUCCCAAUGUAGCAGCAACAUAAAUAUUUGACCUAAUUCAAUUAAGGAAAAAGAAAAGCAGUAACAGCAUGGUGACUGGUGACUGCAACAACAUAGGGAAGAUGGCCUCCUUCCCCACUUCAGCUCGUGAUUCCGACGGCGGCGAGCUCCACACAUGGCGAUGGCAGAGAGAGCAGCAGCGGCAGAAACCACUCCGCAACGCCUUUUCUCUCUCCUGGCGUUGUUCUGUCUCUCUCUCUCUCUCUUCGCGACACACUCUCUUCGUUACUCCAUCAUCGGCGAUGACGGCGGCGCGACGAGCAGCAGUGACUCGCCGGCGCACUCUCCCCCC